UACGUGAGGGCAAGCGUUGUCCGGAUUCAUUGGGUCGGUAAAGAGCGUGUAGGCGGCCAGGUAGGUCGGUUGUGAAACUCGAGGCUCAACCUCGAGACGUCGGUGAACCAUCUGGCUAGAGUCCGGAAGAGGAGUGUGGAAUUCCGGUGUAGCGGUGAAUGACGCAGAGUAUCGGAAGAACACCGUGGCGAAGGCGGCACUCUGGGACGGUACUGACGCUGAGACG
rnacentral:rRNA from 1 species